AUUGAACGCUGGCGGCAUGCCUUACACAUGCAAGUCGAACGGUAACAGGUCUUCGGAUGCUGACGAGUGGCGAACGGGUGAGUAAUACAUCGGAACGUGCCCGAUCGUGGGGGAUAACGGAGCGAAAGCUUUGCUAAUACCGCAUACGAUCUACGGAUGAAAGCAGGGGACCGCAAGGCCUUGCGCGGACGGAGCGGCCGAUGGCAGAUUAGGUAGGUGGUGGGAUAAAAGCUUACCAAGCCGACGAUCUGUAGCUGGUCUGAGAGGACGAGCAGCCACACUGGGACUGAGACACGGCCCAGACUCCUACGGGAGGCAGCAGUGGGGAAUUUUGGACAAUGGGCGAAAGCCUGAUCCAGCCAUGCCGCGUGCAGGAUGAAGGCCUUCGGGUUGUAAACUGCUUUUGUACGGAACGAAAAGACUCUUUCUAAUAAAGAGGGUCCAUGACGGUACCGUAAGAAUAAGCACCGGCUAACUACGUG
rnacentral:rRNA from 1 species